rnacentral:rRNA from 1 species
GAGCGGAUGAGAAGAGCUUGCUCUUCGAUUCAGCGGCGGACGGGUGAGUAAUGCCUAGGAAUCUGCCUGGUAGUGGGGGACAACGUUUCGAAAGGAACGCUAAUACCGCAUACGUCCUACGGGAGAAAGCAGGGGACCUUCGGGCCUUGCGCUAUCAGAUGAGCCUAGGUCGGAUUAGCUAGUUGGUGAGGUAAUGGCUCACCAAGGCGACGAUCCGUAACUGGUCUGAGAGGAUGAUCAGUCACACUGGAACUGAGACACGGUCCAGACUCCUACGGGAGGCAGCAGUGGGGAAUAUUGGACAAUGGGCGAAAGCCUGAUCCAGCCAUGCCGCGUGUGUGAAGAAGGUCUUCGGAUUGUAAAGCACUUUAAGUUGGGAGGAAGGGUUGUAGAUUAAUACUCUGCAAUUUUGACGUUACCGACAGAAUAAGCACCGGCUAACUCUGUGCCAGCAGCCGCGGUAAUACAGAGGGUGCAAGCGUUAAUCGGAAUUACUGGGCGUAAAGCGCGCGUAGGUGGUUCGUUAAGUUGGAUGUGAAAUCCCCGGGCUCAACCUGGGAACUGCAUUCAAAACUGUCGAGCUAGAGUAUGGUAGAGGGUGGUGGAAUUUCCUGUGUAGCGGUGAAAUGCGUAGAUAUAGGAAGGAACACCAGUGGCGAAGGCGACCACCUGGACUGAUACUGACACUGAGGUGCGAAAGCGUGGGGAGCAAACAGGAUUAGAUACCCUGGUAGUCCACGCCGUAAACGAUGUCAACUAGCCGUUGGGAGCCUUGAGCUCUUAGUGGCGCAGCUAACGCAUUAAGUUGACCGCCUGGGGAGUACGGCCGCAAGGUUAAAACUCAAAUGAAUUGACGGGGGCCCGCACAAGCGGUGGAGCAUGUGGUUUAAUUCGAUGCAACGCGAAGAACCUUACCUACUCUUGACAUCCAGCGAACUUAGCAGAGAUGCUUUGGUGCCUUCGGGAACGCUGAGACAGGUGCUGCAUGGCUGUCGUCAGCUCGUGUUGUGAAAUG